AUUGAACGCUGGCGGCAGGCCUAACACAUGCAAGUCGAGCGGAUGAAGGGAGCUUGCUCCUGGAUUCAGCUGCGGACGGGUGAGUAAUGCCUAGGAAUCUGCCUGGUAGUGGGGGAUAACGUCCGGAAACGGGCGCUAAUACCGCAUACGUCCUUAGGGAGAAAGUGGGGGAUCUUCGGACCUCACGCUAUCAGAUGAGCCUAGGUCGGAUUAGCUAGUUGGUGGGGUAAAGGCCUACCAAGGCGACGAUCCGUAACUGGUCUGAGAGGAUGAUCAGUCACACUGGAACUGAGACACGGUCCAGACUCCUACGGGAGGCAGCAGUGGGGAAUAUUGGACAAUGGGCGAAAGCCUGAUCCAGCCAUGCCGCGUGUGUGAAGAAGGUCUUCGGAUUGUAAAGCACUUUAAGUUGGGAGGAAGGGCAGUAAGUUAAUACCUUGCUGUUUUGACGUUACCAAAAGAAUAAGCACCGGCUAACUUCGUG
rnacentral:rRNA from 1 species